AAAUACACAUAAUAACAAUAAGAAAAUAAAAGAGAAAAUGAGAGGAAGGACCAUCUCCGUCCUUGUCAAAUAGGCUAAAGGCCUCCUUGAAUUCAGAGAUCUGAUCGUCAGUGAGCUGAUCGGCCAUUUGCUUAUUCUCUUGAGCUUUUUUUUCUUUUCU